GGACCUCUGAGAUCAUCAAGUCCAACCUUGACCCAAGAGACCUACAGAAAGUUUAAUGGGAAGACAGUAGGAAAAUAGGAAACAGUGGCCCUAUCCUGACCUCAAUUACUUUGAGUGGCCUCUACACUAUGUCGAUGGAAGGAGGAGGCGCGCUCCCGCAGGCAGAAGGGGACUGCACUUGUCGAAGGAAGCUGUAGAUGGUGCUGUUGGCCCAGGAAAGCAAAUCUG